rnacentral:lncRNA from 1 species
AGUUAGUCUCCAGAGCUCACCCUCUCUACCACUCUACCCCUGUUUCACAUAGUAAGGCCUUAAUAAAAGUCUGGUGAAGGUGUGUUAUAGUUUGGAUUAAAUUGUUUCUUUCCUGAGAAUAGUUGAUAAUAAGGAAGAUUGAAAAAACUGACAGCGCAGCUCAUAGAGCCACAGCAGAAGACGUCAGAGGCAGGUGCCCAGACCCUUGAGACCAGAGACUACUGGCCUCAUGAAGUGAAUAAAGUCUGGUUCAGUUCAGUUCAGUUCAGUAGCUCAGUCGUGUCCGACUCUUUGCGACCCCAUGAAUCGCAGCACGCCAGGCCUCCCUGCCCAUCACCAUCUCCCGGAGUUCACUCAGACUCAUGUCCAUUGAGUCAGUGAUGCCAUCCAGCCAUCUCAUCCUCUGUCGUCCCCUUCUCCUCCUGCCCCCAAUCCCUCCCAG